CCUGAUUGUGCAUCUCCCUGAUUUGACACUGCCUGGAGGGCAGAUUGAAUUAGACUGAAGAGUCAGACAGAGGUGUGUUCCACCUUCAGUGAUGCCCAGCUAACUUCCCUAAUGGGACUUCAAAUAUUCAACCGCAUAUUCUGCAGUGAAGCUUGGAUCUAAAAUGUUUGAUUCAGAGGAUGUCAACCUUGCCCAAGAAGAAGAGGAAGAGACGAAAGAACAGGAACUCAGCAAAAAGGAAAUACUCUACAACUCACACAAUCCUAGCAUCUCAGAAACACGGAAUGUAAUUAAUGCUUGGUUUGAAAGAACUGAAGGUGCAUCAAUACAAACAAUGAAUUCCAUGGAAUUAAGUCUGAGGCCAAGAAUGGUUUCCACCAGCUUUUGGAACUGACCGGGAAACAGAAAGACUUUGGGAAAAUAAUCCUGACCUUGCCAUAAGGUGGUGAAGAAAACCUCCCAAGAGUGAAAUUCCGUUAACUUUGCUACCACAAACUUGAGUUUCUACAUCCACCUCUGCUCAUGAUCCCUGUCUUGCUGCAGGCUGAAGUGAACAAAAAACUACAGCACUCAUUAAUGGGAACAAGAAACUUGACUGUCAAAACCCAAUCUCCCAACAUGUCCUGCAUCACUCCCUGUAGAUGUCAACUUUUAAAUCGUGACUCAGACAUCCAAGCACUUCUAUAAACUCAACAAGAAAUCAAUUAGCAACUGAGCAGAAGUGGUGCUGACCUCUUUAAAUACCACAGAGGGGAUAAGAUGGGGAUUUCCUCCUUGCUGUUGCACACAGCUUCAAGUAGUGUGUGGCUGAAAGAUGGAAUUAGCUGGAGAACUCACAUUAAAAAUUACAUAUUGGCUGAAGUCAGAAUCACCCUACAAGUCAUGCUUCUAGUGGUCUGCUCUGUAUGAUUGUGCCAAUGUGGGCCAUCCUUAUAACUGUAAUUUUGAGACCAAAAGACCAUUUGCAGAACCAAAAAAAGUCUCAUCUUAAAAGUAUGCUUCUGCGAACAAUAUAUGUUUUUGUUUCUACAUUCUGAAAUGUGAACAAGGAAGAGCUGCCCAUCUCACCUUCAUGAA